UACUUGUGUUGAUUUCAUGUGAUUUAGAGCUGUUGACGAGCUAACUGGAAGAAGCGGACCUGAUCAUAUCAAACCACUCGACCACCAGGUCGAGUAGAAGCUUCAAGACCUCAACAGACCACUCGACCCCCUGGUCGAGUAGGGGACUUCACAACUUCAACUCACCACUCGACCCUCUGGUCGAGUAUAUUCACCUCCACCACCUGACCGUCACUCGAUCACAUCACUCGACCUCGAGGUCAAGUGUCUUCACCUCCACUACCUGAUCAUCACUCGAUCGCACCACUGCACCUUGAAGUCGAGUAUCACCAUCACAACCACUUGACUACAUACUCGAUGGCGAGCUUCAGAGUCUUCUCCAUUCCGCACUCAACCAGACACUCGAACACAAGGAAGAAAAGAAGACUCCAGCUAAUCACUCGACCUCUCACUCGACCACCUGGGUCAAGUACAGUUCUUAAUCCGUCCUAAUACUGCGUCGUUUUGAGUAUUAGGGUUUCAGAAUAUUUUGCUAUAAGUAGCAUGUACUUUACAUUUUCGAGAACAAGUUUUUAUCGAGUUUUAUUCCGCAAACACUGUGUUCUAGACCUUUUGUAAUCCGGAUUUCUCUUUAUCUAUUCAGUAUUGAGCAUUCGGUAUUUGUUCUUGAUUUCGUUUACUGUUGUUCAUCCUGUUAUCGUUUUGCUAUCACACUGUUGUUAUCAUGUUUUCAUCUUGUUCAACGUUUAUGUUCUCUGCAAUGAUGUCUGAGUAGUGAAUAGGUUUCUGAGGAUGGGUUAGAGUAGUGUAGAAUUCUCAGUAUGCUAGGUGGUUGAGUAUUGAUUGAUAGAUCCCUUAUGGAUUAGUUGUUCUCAAUGCCUAUUGCUUUCUGAUCAACUGGAAUUUGAACCCUGACAUUUCCGCGCCCAAAAGGUGUUCGAUGAAAUGUCUGAACCAUUAAUUCCAGAGAUUCGUGGCCCUGUACCAAGGUAUUGGUUGAAGGGAGCGUUUUGGCUUUAACUUGUUGAUUCGUAAUGCCUGUUAGGUUAGCUCUCGUCAAUGGUGAUUGAGUCUGGGACUAGGUUAACUUGAGGGUCUCUGUUGCGGUGGCACUUAGAUUUGGUUAAUGAACUUGUUGUUAUUUAUUGAGCAUGUCAAUCACCUAUAAACUGAGGAAACGAAACUACUCAAUUACCCCAUCCUCGGGAAUUCUUUAUCUGAUUGAAUUUAUUGUUUACUCUACUGUCGUUUACUACAUCUUGUCAUCUGUUGCUUAGUUUCUGCAAUUCUUUACUGUUACUCGACCUAAUACUCGACCACCCAGUUGUCUGGCAACAGACUUUGCAGUCGAGUAUCCCUGUUUCAUUUUCUGUCUGUUACUCGACCUGUCACUCGACCACACCCAGUGCUCUGCAACGAGCUGUGUUGGUCGAGUGUUUUAUUGUUUCUGCUUGAAUUUCUGUUUUCUGCAUGUUCUCUUCGAACUGCUAGAACACACCAAAACCUGUUAUUGUUUGGCUUGACUUAGUGACUUCUGAUCACAUCUUGAUUGUUAGCAUCACACCUAUUUGGAUUGAACGAUAUGAUAGUUCUUUAGGAUGAAUUGAUCUUAAAAACCUAUUAUCAAUUUGGUGCCGUUGCCAAUUGAGUGUUUGUUUGUUACAUUUGAGAUUUCAGACUUGCUUAUAUCAAGUUCUUUCUCAAUUUUCAAUUCGGUUGCUAACUGUGUGUUUUUCUUGUUGUCUUCUUGAUCCAGGUACACCUCUGUUGUAUGCAAACUCGAUCAACAGGUAAUCAGAACCUCCUUUUCAACGACAACAUCGACCGCAUAGCUGGCAAACUCAGAGAAAGGAGAAACACAGUCAACCUUGUUCCCCAACAACCACUCGAAAUGGCUGACGAACAGAAUCAACAAAAUGGCCCUUCCAACAUUGGUGCUGGAGAUGCACCACGUGAUCACUGUGGAUGUCGGAUUCACACACUCAAGUAUUUAUUUAUUUAGUGGGUAGGAUUAUUCUUGAGGACAAAUAUAAUAGAAAAUAGAUAGAUGAUUAUAGAGAAAACUAUGAGUAUUGUAAAAGAAUGUGUAUAGCUAAUUUGCACCAAGAAAAU
rnacentral:sRNA from 1 species